rnacentral:rRNA from 1 species
AGAGUUUGAUCAUGGCUCAGGACGAACGCUGGCGGCGUGCUUAACACAUGCAAGUCGAACGGUAACGCGAAGAGCUUGCUCUUUGGCGACGAGUGGCGGACGGGUGAGUAAUACUUAGGAAUCUACCCAGUAGCGGGGGACAACUCGGGGAAACUCGAGCUAAUACCGCAUACGCCCUACGGGGGAAAGCGGGGGAUCUUCGGACCUCGCACUAUUGGAUGAGCCUAAGUCGGAUUAGCUAGUUGGUAGGGUAAAAGCCUACCAAGGCGACGAUCCGUAGCUGGUCUGAGAGGACGAUCAGCCACACUGGGACUGAGACACGGCCCAGACUCCUACGGGAGGCAGCAGUGGGGAAUAUUGGACAAUGGGGGCAACCCUGAUCCAGCAAUGCCGCGUGUGUGAAGAAGGCCUGCGGGUUGUAAAGCACUUUCAGUAGAGAAGAAAAGCCUAAGGUUAAUAACCUUGAGUCUUGACGUAACCUACAGAAGAGCCCC